rnacentral:rRNA from 1 species
CCUACGGGGGGCAGCAGUGGGGGAUAUUGCACAAUGGGGGAAACCCUGAUGCAGCGACGCCGCGUGUGGGAAGACGGUCCUCUGGAUUGUACACCUCUUUUGUCGGGGAGCAAAAGACGCCACGCGUGGCGUUCCGAGAGUACCCGAAGAAAAAGCAUCGGCUAACUCCGUGCCAGCAGCCGCGGUAAUACGGAGGAUGCGAGCGUUAUCCGGAUUUAUUGGGUUUAAAGGGUGCGCAGGCGGAAGAUCAAGUCAGCGGUAAAAUUGAGAGGCUCAACCUCUUCGAGCCGUUGAAACUGGUGUUCUUGAGUGAGUGAGAAGUAUGCGGAAUGCGUGGUGUAGCGGUGAAAUGCAUAGAUAUCGCGCAGAACUCCGAUUGCGAAGGCAGCGUACCGGCGCCAGACUGACGCUGAGGCACGAAAGCGUGGGGAUCGAACAGGAUUAGAUACCCGGGUAGUC